rnacentral:rRNA from 1 species
UACAGAGGCCACGAGCGUUAGGCGGAAUCACUGGGCUUAAAGCGUGUGUAGGUGGAUGGGUAAGUACCUUGUGAAAUCCCACGGCUCAACCGUGGAACUGCUUGGUAUACUGCCUGUCUUGAGGCACUCAGGGGCGAGCGGAACAGAUGGUGGAGCGGUGAAAUGCGUAGAUAUCAUCUGGAACGCCAAUGGUGAAGACAGCUCGCUGGGGGUGU